rnacentral:rRNA from 1 species
UAGCGGCGAGCGAAGCGGGAAGAGCUCAAAUUUAUAAUCUGGCACCUUCGGUGUCCGAGUUGUAAUCUCUAGAAGUGUUUUCCGCGUUGGACCGCGCAUAAGUCUGUUGGAAUACAGCGGCACAGUGGUGAGACCCCCGUAUGUGGUGCGGAUGCCCAGCGCUUUGUGAUACACUUUCGAAGAGUCGAGUUGUUUGGGAAUGCAGCUCAAAUUGGGUGGUAAAUUCCAUCUAAAGCUAAAUAUUGGCGAGAGACCGAUAGCGAACAAGUACCGUGAGGGAAAGAUGAAAAGCACUUUGGAAAGAGAGUUAACAGUACGUGAAAUUGUUGGAAGGGAAACGCUUGAAGUCAGACUUGCUUGCCGGGCAACCGGUUUGCAGGCCAGCAUCAGUUUUCCGGGGUGGAUAAUGGUAGAGAGAAGGUAGCAGUUUCGGCUGUGUUAUAGCUCUCUACUGGAUACACCUUGGGGGACUGAGGAACGCAGUGUGCCUUACGGCGGAGGUUUCGACCUCUUCACACUUAGGAUGCUGGUGGAAUGGCUUUAAACGACCCGUCUUGAAACACGGACCAAGGAGUCUAACAUGCUUGCGAGUAUUUGGGUGUCAAACCCGGAUGCGUAAUGAAAGUGAAUGGAGGUGGGAACCGCAAGGUGCACCAUCGACCGAUCUGGAUUUUUAAUGAUGGAUUUGAGUAAGAGCACGUAUGUUGG